rnacentral:rRNA from 1 species
UACGUAGGGGGCUAGCGUUGUCCGGAAUCAUUGGGCGUAAAGAGCGUGUAGGCGGUCCGGUAAGUCCGCUGUGAAAGUCGGGGGCUCAACCCUCGAAUGCCGGUGGAUACUGUCGGGCUAGAGUGCGGAAGAGGCGAGUGGAAUUCCUGGUGUAGCGGUGAAAUGCGCAGAUAUCGGGAAGAACACCCGUGGCGAAGGCGGCUCUCUGGGACGGUACUGACGCUGAGACGCGAAAGCGUGGGGAGCGAACAGG